CCUCCUCACUUGAAGUCUCUUCAGGCCGAUUCUCUACCGCGCGUGCCAACCCUAAGCCUCCUCUCUUUGGUGAAGCCCUCUCUCCGGCGAAGCCCUGCCCGACCAAGCCCUCUCCACCGAAUUGAACAUCUUCCUCGGGAUUUUUUUUGGCGCUCUUGCAACUCUUGUCUUUCUCAGGUCGUUCUCUAUGAUCGAGUGCGUUUUGGGACACUAUCUAUUGCGGAAGAUUCAAAUGUUUAAAUUUUUGGGUUGGAAGGGCAUGAUGUCGAGUGGAGAAGUCAAGAAGGUAUCUCGUCAGGAUAUACAACUAGUUUCUGAAAGCUAGAAAAUUUGAUCGUGAGCAAGCAACUCUUAUGUGGGCCCUCAUAUGCUUCAGUGGAGAAAGGAAUUUGGAGUAGAAAUAAUUUUAAAAAUACGUAUUUUAUUGUCUCUGUGAACUUUAGGAAUU